rnacentral:rRNA from 1 species
UACGUAGGGCGCAAGCGUUGUCCGGAAUUAUUGGGCGUAAAGAGCUCGUAGGCGGUCUGUCGCGUCUGUUGUGAAAACUCGAGGCUCAACCUCGGGCUUGCAGUGGAUACGGGCAGACUAGAGUGCGGUAGGGGAGACUGGAAUUCCUGGUGUAGCGGUGGAAUGCGCAGAUAUCAGGGGGAACACCAGUGGCGAAGGCGCCGCUCUGGGCCGUGACUGACGCUGAAGAGCGAAAGCGUGGGUAGCAAACAGG